CCUACGGGAGGCAGCAGUGGGGAAUAUUGCACAAUGGGGGAAACCCUGAUGCAGCGACGCCGCGUGAAGGAAGAAGUAUUUCGGUAUGUAAACUUCUAUCAGCAGGGAAGAAAAUGACGGUACCUGACUAAGAAGCCCCGGCUAACUACGUGCCAGCAGCCGCGGUAAUACGUAGGGGGCAAGCGUUAUCCGGAUUUACUGGGUGUAAAGGGAGCGUAGGCGGUGAUGCAAGUCAGAAGUGAAAGCCCGGAGCUCAACUGCGGGACUGCUUUUGAAACUGUAUGACUGGAUUGCAGGAGAGGUAAGUGGAAUUCCUAGUGUAGCGGUGAAAUGCGUAGAUAUUAGGAGGAACACCAGUGGCGAAGGCGGCUUACUGGACUGUAAAUGACGCUGAGGCUCGAAAGCGUGGGGAGCAAACAGGAUUAGAUACCCUGGUAGUC
rnacentral:rRNA from 1 species